GCGGCCUAUCAGCUUGUUGGUGGGGUAAUGGCCUACCAAGGCGACGACGGGUAGCCGGCCUGAGAGGGUGUCCGGCCACACUGGGACUGAGAUACGGUCCAGACUCCUACGGGAGGCAGCAGUGGGGAAUAUUGCACAAUGGGCGCAAGCCUGAUGCAGCGACGCCGCGUGAGGGAUGACGGCCUUCGGGUUGUAAACCUCUUUCAGCAGGGACGAAGCGCAAGUGACGGUACCUGUAGAAGAAGGACCGGCCAACUACGUGCCAGCAGCCGCGGUAAUACGUAGGGUCCGAGCGUUGUCCGGAAUUACUGGGCGUAAAGAGCUCGUAGGUGGUUUGUCGCGUUGUUCGUGAAAACUCACAGCUUAACUGUGGGCGUGCGGGCGAUACGGGCAGACUUGAGUACUGCAGGGGAGACUGGAAUUCCUGGUGUAGCGGUGGAAUGCGCAGAUAUCAGGAGGAACACCGGUGGCGAAGGCGGGUCUCUGGGCAGUAACUGACGCUGAGGAGCGAAAGCGUGGGGAGCGAACAGGAUUAGAUACCCUGGUAGUCCACGCCGUAAACGGUGGGUACUAGGUGUGGGUUUCCUUCCUUGGGAUCCGUGCCGUAGCUAACGCAUUAAGUACCCCGCCUGGGAGUACGG
rnacentral:rRNA from 1 species